rnacentral:piRNA from 1 species
UUCUUUCAUUGGACCUAAAGAUGCCGCACC